AGUUCCCUGCAGAAGAAAAGAAAAACCUCAAUGUACUGCUAAGCUUGGAGCGCUGACCUGAGCAACUAAGUCAACUGUUACCACAUUUAUGAGCUGCUGCAAAGCCCAGGGAGGCCCCAUCACUUCCCUUCAUGUCCUGGGUGCUGCACUAAAGCCUAGCAGUGCAGCUGGGCCUCAAAGGCAGAUCGCCGUGAUGUGACCGUCUUUGCCCACUGAGCACGCUGGCCUGCCCGCUCUGGUUGCCUUGCCUUACUUGCUGGUAUGGAAGCACCCUUUGCUUUACCAUCUCACCGGUCUCAAGCCCUCUAUGUAGUCAGGGUGAGGCAGCCUCAGAGGGGUCUGUCAGACACAUGCCUUAUUUCUAAGCAUGAGAAGGAUUUUUCUUUAAAUCCACACACUUCCAAAUGUCAAGACUUAGCCCCUCGUAGCUAGGAAUUACUAAACAUGGCCUCACGACCAGGUCAAACCAUCAAACUGGAGGCCCAGGGCACACAAACCAGCACAACAGAGAGUAGAUGCAUGCUUCAUGUGGUGUGACAGCCACUGUGGCUGUGCCCCACCCACACUGCACACAUGAUGUGACUGAGGUAAGCUCACCCUUGGCAAUAAGGAUGGCUUCUGCGGCACACAGGCCCUCCCUGCUGCCCCAGGACUGUGUCUCUGGGACUGGAAGCUGAGGUACAGCAUCUCUUCCAAAAGUAAAAGACAUCUAUUCCGUGGGUCCUGAAUGUGGGCGGGACGCUGUUUUAAACCUGACCUUGCCUUAUCAGAAGAGCAAGACCUACAGCAGCACUAAGCCCUCCCACUUCCACUGAGCCUCAGGCUGCCUGCUUCAGUGCAGGCUGCGUCCUUUCUAGCCUGAGCUGUCUGCUUCCUAUGGGGCAAGCACAGACCUUUAUCACAUGGUACCUCGAUUAAGUGACUUUGGUUCUAAAUCCUCAACUUGUUUCUCUUACUUAAAAAUCACGCUUCCUCUAGGAGAGGAUGCUAGUCCUGAGGUGAAAUAAAACCUGUACUUCAGCAAUUAAAAAUAUUACCAAGAAAGAAAAUUCUAGGGGGUUGGGGAUUUAGCUCAGUGGUAGAGGUAGGCCCUGGGUUCAGUCCCCAGCUCCGAAAAAAAGAAAAGGGGGAAAAAAAAAAGAAAGAAAAUUCUAGUUUUAUAUACAAAUACUGAUAAAAUGGAUUCUUCGGGAUUGCUUAAAAUAGUAUUGUGAUGAGAGAUAUAAACAGUAGAUGCAGGUAUGCUUUAAAAGUGUGGUGGUUGGGAGUCGGAAAGAUGGCUCAGUGGUUAAGAGCACUGACUGCUCUUCCAGAGGUCCUGAGUUCAAAGCCCAGCACCCUCAUGGUGGCUCACAACCAUCUGUAAUGGAAUCGGAUGCCCUCUUCUGGUGUGUCUGAGGACAGCAAGAAUACUCACAUACAUAACAUAAAUAAAUGUUUAGAAAAAAAAGUUCGGUGGUUGGCCGCCCUGCAUGUGUAAACGGAAGCCUUUGGGAACAGUGUGUGACUGUCCCACUAACUGCUUCCUAACCCUGUAGCCUGCUUGCACAGCUAGUUUAAAUCGGGUUGCAAAGCACAGCAGGGUUUGUGGGUGUGGUAAGGGAACGUCUACAGUUUUCGGUAUGGAGGAUGGAGCUGAGGUUGGUGCACCCUAAGUGUGAGCUCUACCGGCAAGCCACUAAUGCCCAAGUCCGUCUUGAUGAGAGUGUGAAUCCUCAGCAGAAAGGGCCGAGUGGACCUGAGCUGUGAGUCCCCAGCUCAACCCACUGAGUGUAGUAUGCAUCCCGCCCGCCCCAGACUCGCCAUCCUGACCUUUUACCUCCCUGCUCAUUUUGGCAUAGCCACCCCCCUUCUCUAUUCUUCCUUGAGCUUCACUGAACUGGUCCUUGCUCCUAGCUCCAGCUGAUCAAUGAGGGAAUGAUCUUUCUGUGGCAGCAGUAACCAGGAAGUGGUGCUCCCAGGACACUGAAUUCUAGAAUUGUGAUGGGAAGCUCAGGAAGGCAGACAUCUUGUUUCUGGGCCCGCUUCUGAAGGGUGGCUGCAGAGGGACAGCAGCAUCGUGCCUCCCUGGAGGAACAGGUAGGGACCCACACACUCUUCAGACACACAGAGAACCAAGGUGGACGUUACAAGUGGCAGGCUUCCUUCAUCCUCUACAGGAAGCCCCCUCACAUAUUUCCAGAGAGACACACACAGAGGAUUUGAAAGCCCACUGGAUGGAGAAGGGGGCUGCUCCCAAGGCGAGCGAGCAUGCUAAGUGCUGACUCACGUGUAUCCACCGUCUCCUGGAUGGGAAUGAAGCCCACAGGCAACGUGUCCUUGACGUCGAUGAGUUUCAUGUCCACCAGCACAUUCCCCAAAUGACUCUUGGGAGGAAAAGAAAAGACACAGACUGUGAAUUGGAACUUGCUUCAGUCUGCUUGCAGUCCUGGCUUCAGGAAGCAUGUUUGACACAAUGGCCACGGCAGCUUUACCACAGAGGGUUAACUGGAGAAGAUGAUACCAGCAUUUACCAGGGACUCUAGUGUACCUCAGAAAGGAGAUUUCAUCUGUGGAAUCUCAAAGUCAUUCGGCAGAGGGCAGGCGUGCCCAUGUCCCUGGAGUCCACCACCUCUCAGGGUUGGAGCAUUUUAAAUAGAGGAGGUUCCGGGGUGCUUGCAAGAAAGGAGCUGCAUCUAAACUGAAUGAGGUCUGAUCACACACCUAAGGGGUUGCUAGUCACAGACUGACAGUUUUAAGUUACAGGAUACAUUUUGCAAAAUCCCAAGAAUCAUAAACUAACUGAAUGGCAGCCUGGCCACCUCCGGAUCCCACGCCUUCUGAGAUAACUUGCUAGGGGAGCUCUUAAGAGCUCCUGUUUAGUGCUGGCAGAGGGGCCCGCAGUGCACAGUUUCCAUAAAGACAUCUUUGAAGAUGGCUGGUGGUGCACUGCUCUGUAAUUGCAGGAGAGAAUUCUUUGCAGACGCGCCGGCCUUUGCAGCCUUCACUUCAUGCUACAAACAGCUCUUAAGAAAUCUGCCCUCAUCUUAAACAUGAGGGCUGCUGUGGAGAUUACGUUCGUGUCUUCAGAGUCAUCUCAGCCUAGUCAGAGCCAGUUAAGGCAAGAAUAAUGGGUUCUCAGCCCAAAUCUCUCCUGUUAGGAUUCCAGCAAUGUGCUGCGUGUGCCCACUUUGCAGAAGCACUGUGUCCCCCCAAAGCCCACUGAAUGCAUGUCUAUUUCCUUAGUCUGCAGUCCUGGACUAACAUCUAAGGGUCAGCCCAGGCCCCACCCUCCCAGGAACCUCUCAGGCAGUGUCCCCUGUUGCUUAGAGAUGGACCCAACCUCAUUUCUGGGCUGGGGACCCGGAUCCAUGUCCAUCUUUACAGCUCAGGCAUCGCUGGGUCCACACAGGGAGUAUUUGCUUUCUGAAUGGAGCCAGACGCUCUCUCUAAGACCCUUCCUAACUUUCUAUCAGUUUAUAAUUGGAUACUGUCAUGAUCUGAGUCAGAAUGGUCUCCACUGGCUCACACAUUUGAAUACUUAAUAAUCAGAGAGUGGCACUAUUUGGAAAGGAGUAGGGGGUAUGGCCUUGUUGGAGAAAGCGUGUCACUGGGGAUGACCUCUGAGGUUUCAAGAGGCCUUGCUAGGCUAAUCUCUGUCUCUCAGCUGGAGAUCAGGAGGUAGCUACUGCCGCAGUGCCAUGUGUGGUGCCAUGCUCCCUGCCAUGAUAGCCUGAAAUGUAAGGAAGUCUCCAGAUUAAUGCUUUGCUUUGUAAGAGUUGCCCCGACUAUGGUCUCUUUGCAGCAGCAGAGCAGUGACUAAGGCAGACCUUAUGCAGCAUCCAUCCAUCUACGACCAUGAAAGACAUCUUUAAAAAACCGCUAAAGAGGAACCAAAAUGUUUGCUCUGACUGCUCACCCAGGCUGGUAUAGUUCUUGGCACACAGUAGGGACUCAAUAAUUAUUGGCUAAAUACAUUCAUGUUUGAGGCAAACUUUUCAACAGGCUGGGUACUAGCAAUCAGAAGCCGAAUCAGACUUUCUCAAAUGGCAAAUUGAAACCACAUCACCAAAAUUCCCAAAGUUUAUUAUCAGUUAUUACGGCCUAGAAGGAAAAGAUGCCUCAAGUUGAAAUUCGGAAGUGAGAGUGGCAGGCGCGGCCUGUGGCCAGCACAUCCGUGACUGUACCAUCAGACAUGUCCUUCUCUCUCAGCGUCCCUGUGCUUGCCAACAGUGCACAGGUGGCUGGGGCCGGGGAAGACUAUGCUCUGAAGUGCAGCAUGUGGGGAGUGGGCCCUCUCUAAUGUGGGACAGACUCCUGACCACACACGAAGGCCAGGCCCAGCUGGGAACAGGGAAGUAACGGCUGUCUUCGGAGCAGCCCGGUCUAAUCUUCUGUCCUCUGUUCCCCUCCCUUCGCCCUCCCCUGCUCCCAGGCAGCCACUCUUCCACUUUCACUGCUCUCUGCACUGAGAAAUUAACAACUGGGCAUGCUCUGCUGCCCCAUAGACGGAUGGGCAUUCGUCAGUAUCAUGCCUGACUGUCUUUGUCUUGACACACUGGAUUCCAUGGAUGUCAACUGCAACCACUUAGCCACCUCACCUCUGUGCUCUUGAAAAAAAAAUGCCUUAACCAUAAAACCGGAGCACUGGUGGUGUGGCCUCUUUACAAGUGCUGGGAAACCUUUCCUUGCACGCAAAAUGGGAGGCUGCCCGGUUGAAGCUUCCUGCAGCCCAAGGGUGUGGCCCUAUUCCAUGGGGCUGCCACUCUGCAGGGUCCCCCUACCCCCACCUUCUUUUAUAUAUCAUAGGCCUACAACACCAUUAAUUUUCCUGGCUCCCCUCCCCCACCUGUGCUCUCUUUCAUUUCCUCCUCAUAAAUAUGAAGAACGUAUUCCCAAUCCUUGCUGAGCAAAUGAUUCAUCCCGGGAGCCCGGCGCACACUGACUCAGGGUAUUUAUAUUGUCUCUGGUAGCCAGUGUUUGCUAGUAUACUGUAAUUAUUUCUGACAACUUUGCAUUUAAGGUAGCCACAGAUAACCAACUUAAUAUUCGAAUGUUCAUAAAUCCUUCUGUUUAACAUCCUCCCUGCCCAAUCUACGCACAUUAUUAUUACAGGUAACACAGAAAGUGCAGGCCAUGAAAAGUGCAAUUAAUCUCACUCCUUCCCCAGGAAGCCAUGUCACUCGAAAGCCAGGUUUCUAUAUUAAUGGCCUGAUUGGGGGAAAGGAAUUUAGGAUUCAAAGGAAGCUCCCCAAACUCCUAUGCUGGGAGUCUCGAGUCACCUAAUUAAGACUUGGCCUGCUCAGGAGAUCCCACACCUCCCAGAUGGUUGUAAAAUGCUGCUAUGCCAAGCCUGUUCUCUGACUGAAGACAGGACAGACAGGCAGCCGCUGCCGCCGCCACAGUGAGGAUGUGCCUUCAGGGCUGGCAAGUGGGCUCUGUCACUCCCAAAAUUUGAACCCAAUGCAAUUCUUCCCUCUGGUUUGUUGUUUGGAGGCCGUAAAGGACACAUCCGUUCCUCUUUUGGUGCUGGGGAUGGAAUUGCUAACACAUUUCCCCAGCGCUGGACACACACACUCAGGCUUCAGCUGAGGGCAGGGCUUCUCUUGCUGCCCUCCUGGCAGCCUUACAGUCUUAUCACCCCCAGAACCCAGCUACUGAUGGGGAGCAGUUCCUGGGCUGAAUCCAGGGCCCAUGCACACUAACCAAGUGCUCUAUCAUUGGCUCAGGCUGAGCACUGUGUUUUUAUGAUCCACUCCAAACCAACGAGUCCAGUGCCAUCCCUGAACCACAAUGGACUUGCUGCCCUAGCUCCCAGGGCUUCACAAACUCCCGCCUAGAAGAACAAUAGCUCACAGAUUCAGGAGCAAAUGUAGCAGGUCCCAACGUAAGUGACCCAAGGGACCACGGCUAUCCUUUGAGGCCAGCCACACUGCCCAGGGCUGUUGGGCUUUUGAGAUGUGAGGACCUGGUCUCUAGCUUGUGGGGCUGUGAGGGGAGGUUGGGGAGGUGCAGCCUUGCUGGAGGAGGAUCAUCACUGGCAGACUCUGAGAGUCAAAUGCUAAUAGCACUUCUAGCUCUCACUCUGCUUCCUGGAUAGAAGCUCUCAGGGUCCUAUACUAAAUGCCAUGCCUCCCUGCCUUUAUUCCCCUAGGACCAUAAGCAAAAUACAUCCCUCCUUCUAUAAGUUGCCUUGAUCAUGGUGUAUGAUCAGAGCCACAAAAAAGUAACUUAGACAAGGUGUCUGACCAAGUCUUCAGGACUCCUUCCUGAGAGUCCAGCAGCAGUGACCACAGGAUGUGGUGAUCAGCAGACAGAGCAGAGACAAUAGGAGGGAAAAGCAGAAAUGGCUUCCCAAAGGCAUUCGGGUAGACUCCUGGGACAGAGGACCUGAGGAGGGUACAUAGGGCACACGAGGUGCAGGAGGGAGGGAGACCUGAUAGGUCUACUAUUAACUUCAUGAACUCAGCAUCUGUGAGGUGAUGGCACCUCACUCCUGCUCUGUGGAGUCCCCUCAGGCUACAGUGAACCCAAAGGAUGUUGCAGACACAGCACAAGCCCUGUGCAGGUGUGUAACUGCCUCAGCUGCCACCAUCCUGCUACUGAAAAUGCAUUCAGAGGCUGGUGGUAAGACGAUUCCCCUAUUCAGUCAUAAACUCUUACAUUACAAGCAGCAAGUGUGCUGCUCUCAUAAUUAGAGGGGGCUUAAUGGAAUAACUUUGCCCC